UACGUAGGGGGCAAGCGUUGUUCGGAAUUACUGGGCGUAAAGGGCGCGUAGGCGGCACGGCAAGUCGGGAGUGAAAGCCCGGGGCUCAACCCCGGAACGUCUCACGAAACUGCCGAGCUAGAGUGCGGAAGAGGCAACUGGAAUUCCCAGUGUAGCGGUGAAAUGCGUAGAUAUUGGGAGGAACACCAGUGGCGAAGGCGGCUCGCUGGACCGGUUCUGACGCUGAUGCGCGAAAGCGUGGGGAGCAAACGGG
rnacentral:rRNA from 1 species